UACGGAGGAUCCGAGCGUUAUCCGGAUUUAUUGGGUUUAAAGGGUGCGUAGGCGGUUUGAUAAGUUAGAGGUGAAAUGUCGGGGCUCAACCCCGAAACUGCCUCUAAUACUGUUGGACUAGAGAAUAGUUGCGGUAGGCGGAAUGUAUGGUGUAGCGGUGAAAUGCUUAGAGAUCGUACAGAACACCGAUUGCGAAGGCAGCGUACCAAACUAUAUCUGACGUUGAGGCACGAAAGCGUGGGUAGCAAACAGG
rnacentral:rRNA from 1 species